UGCCAGCCGCCGCGGUAAUACGGAGAGUGCAAGCGUUGUUCGGAUUUAUUGGGCGUAAAGGGCGUCUAGGUGGCUCGUCAAGUCAGGUGUGAAAUCCCUCGGCUCAACCGAGGACGUGCACUUGAAACUAGCGAGCUUGAGUACUGGAGGGGGCAGCGGAAUUCCUGGUGUAGAGGUGAAAUUCGUAGAUAUCAGGAGGAACACCAGUGGCGAAGGCGGCUGCCUGGCCAGAUACUGACACUGAAGCGCGAAGGCGUGGGUAGCGAACGGGAUUAGAUA
rnacentral:rRNA from 1 species